rnacentral:lncRNA from 1 species
UUUGGGUUCUUCCUUCCCAUUUCUGCAGGCUCCCAGCUGGAUCUGUGAGAUGAAAGCACGUGAGCAUCUAUGUGCCCAUGUAAGGCCUGCAUUGGGCAAAGUCCACUGGCAAGGAGUCCAUGUUCUGAGGGCCUCUCACCAUGGCCUGGCCCAGCAGGCCUCACAGAACAUUGCAAGAAUGGUCAUCCAGUGUCAUUGUUCCUAUUAAUCAUUGGCUCUUAAAGCAGCAAAGAGAGCUUUUUCCCUUUUUUCUUUUCUUCUUUUUUUUUAAACUUUGUUUUGUUUGUUUGUUUGUUUGUUUGUUUGAAACAAGGUUUUUCUACACAACCCUGGCUGUCCUGGAAUUUACUUUGUAGACCAGGCUGGCCUCAAACUCAGAAAUCCGCCUGCCUUUGCCUCCCAAGUGCUGGGAUUAAAGGCAUGAGCUGCCACCACCACCGCCGCCGCCUGGCCCUUUUCGUCUUUGAGACAGGGUUUCAUAUAUAUCAGGCUGCUGUAGAACUCCAUAUAUAGUCAAGCAUAACCUUAAAUCAGACAGGCACUCUGCCACCUGAGCCAGAGCUCCAGUCCCUGCCCCCCCCCCUUUUUUUUGAAACAGGGUUUUAUGUAGCCUGGACUGCCCUCGAACCUUCUGCUGGCUCCUUUUCUCUGGUGCUUGGAUCUGAGGUUUGCUACCACCCCUAGCAUUGAAGAGAGUUGUUUGCAUGUCUAACCUUUUGAUAUUGUGACAUGACAUUGUCAUCUACAAAGUGCACACUCAAGAACGAAAUAAUCAAGUAUUGGGGAGGGCAAAACAAAUCUCAUGACAUUUUUUAAUAAGUUUAUGGUGUUGGGCUGCAUCUGUACUGUCCUAGGGCACUACUACGCUGUCAGUUGAACACUUAGACCAUCAUAUGCUUAACACUUUUACCCUUCCCAAGAGCACUUUGGAACAGCUAGUAACCUCAUCAUUUUUAUUUUUUCCAAAGUCUUCAGCCUAUGGUUAUCCUAGGCAGUGCCAUGAAGCUGGGUCUGGGUUGGGGCAGCUGCUGUGGCCUCCCAACACUCUCCAUGGAGUCGUUUCUGUUCCUUGUGCCCUAUUAAAUUGAUUGCUUCUU